UAGUAAUAUAUUGCUGCGCUUGAGGGUAAUUCCUGUUCUCGUCUGAUCAUCAAAGUUAAGCAACGUCGGGCCCGGUUAGUACUUGCAUGGGUGACCAGCUGGGAAGACCGGGUGUUUCGGC
rnacentral:rRNA from 1 species